rnacentral:rRNA from 1 species
GACGAACGCUGGCGGCGUGCUUAACACAUGCAAGUCGAACGGAAAGGCCCCUUUGGGGGUACUCGAGUGGCGAACGGGUGAGUAACACGUGAGUAACCUGCCCUUGACUUCGGGAUAACUUCAGGAAACUGGGGCUAAUACCGGAUAGGAAUCCUUGCUGCAUGGUGGGGGUUGGAAAGCUUCGGCGGUUUUGGAUGGACUCGCGGCUGAUCAGCUUGUUGGUGGGGUAGUGGCUUACCAAGGCUUUGACGGGUAGCCGGCCUGAGAGGGCGACCGGCCACAUUGGGACUGAGAUACGGCCCAGACUCCUACGGGAGGCAGCAGUGGGGAAUAUUGCACAAUGGGCGGAAGCCUGAUGCAGCAACGCCGCGUGCGGGAUGACGGCCUUCGGGUUGUAAACCGCUUUCAGCAGGGGCGAAGCUUGUGGUGACGGUACCUGCAGAAGAAGCACCGGCUAACUACGUG